AAAUGAUAAACCUAACUACAUCUUUCUACAUGGUCCUGAAAUCCUAUAUCCUAUGAUGUCCUUUGAGACUCUAUUUGUGGAGUGUAUCGAUGACGUCAAAAGGGAAAAUGCUAUUAAACUCAAAGGAGAGGAGAUUAUUGAAGCUAAACUGAUUACGAUGUUGUUGUUUGCAUUAUGGAGCCUUAAUUAACCAUAUGACAUAGUCUCUCGCUCUUCACUUAGAGAUUUCGGGUUCGAUUGCAACCGAUCAAAAAAAUCUUAGCUGUUGCUACAACCAUAAAUGUGUAGAUGUGUUAUGUGAUACUUAAAAUUGAGAAUUGUUCAAUCUAUCGAAGAAAAAAAAAAUAUGACAAAUACAUUUGUUUCAUUAUGAAAAUAAGACACAAUAAAAUAGUACCUGAUCUAAAAUUACUAUAUUUCCUAUGUUAAAAACAAAAGUAACGAAAAUUAUUACUGAUUUUUCACGUAAAAUUAUCAAGCGUAAAUUCUUAUCUUCAAACUUCAAUAUCAUGCCUUCUUAGGUCUCACAUUUUACAUGAAUAAUAAAAAAAUCACACAUGGUAAUCUUGUCAUGUGAAAAAUAAAUGAGAAAUUUUUUUGUACACUAAAAAACAAAUGUAUAAAUACACACAUUACACAAGAUGUUUCUUUUUACUUUUCUUUAUCGGUUAAGCAUUAAAAUGGGAGAAGCAAAAGCUUAAGCCUUCUU